GACGAACGCUGGCGGCGUGCUUAACACAUGCAAGUCGAGCGGAAAGGCCACUUCGGUGGUACUCGAGCGGCGAACGGGUGAGUAACACGUGAGUAAUCUGCCCCUGGCUUUGGGAUAGCCACCGGAAACGGUGAUUAAUACCGGAUACGACCACUUCUCGCAUGGAAUGGUGGUGGAAAGUUUUUUCGGCCAGGGAUGUGCUCGCGGCCUAUCAGCUUGAUGGUGAGGUAAUGGCUCACCAUGGCUUCGACGGGUAGCCGGCCUGAGAGGGUGACCGGUCACACUGGGACUGAGACACGGCCCAGAGUCCUACGGGAGGCAGCAGUGGGGAAUAUUGGACAAUGGGCGGAAGCCUGAUCCAGCAACGCCGCGUGAGGGAUGACGGCCUUCGGGUUGUAAACCUCUUUCAGCAGGGACGAAGCGCAAGUGACGGUACCUGCAGAAGAAGCACCGGCAAACUACGUGCCAGCCGCCGCGGUAA
rnacentral:rRNA from 1 species